rnacentral:rRNA from 1 species
AUUGAACGCUGGCGGAAUGCUUUACACAUGCAAGUCGAACGGCAGCACGGACUUCGGUCUGGUGGCGAGUGGCGAACGGGUGAGUAAUACAUCGGAACGUGCCCAGUCGUGGGGGAUAACGUAGCGAAAGCUACGCUAAUACCGCAUACGAUCUACGGAUGAAAGCGGGGGAUCGCAAGACCUCGCGCGAUUGUAGCGGCCGAUGGGUGAUUAGGUAGUUGGUGGGGUAAAGGCUCACCAAGCCGACGGUCUGUAGCUGGUCUGAGAGGACGACCAGCCACACUGGGACUGAAACACGGCCCAUACUCCUACGGGAGGCAGCAGGGGGGAAUUUUGGACAAUGGGCGCAAGCCUGAUCCAGCCAUUCCGCGUGCAGGAUGAAGGCCCUCGGGUUGUAAACUGCUUUUGUACGGAACGAAAAGGCUCUGGUUAAUACCCGGGGCUCAUGACGGUACCGUAAGAAUAAGCACCGGCUAACUACGUGCCAGCAGCCGCGGUAA